UCCCUGGUAGCUCAGAUGGUAAGGCAUCUGCAUGCAAGGCAGGAGACCCGGGUUCAAUCCCUGGGUUGGGAA
rfam:TPA: Bos taurus chromosome 4, whole genome shotgun sequence.